rnacentral:rRNA from 1 species
ACUCAAAGGAAUUGACGGGGACCCGCACAAGCAGCGGAGCGUGUGGUUUAAUUCGAGGCUACGCGAAGAACCUUACCUGGGUUUGACAUAUAGGUGGUAGGGAUCCGAAAGGUGACCGACCCCUCGGGGAGCCUAUACAGGUGUUGCAUGGCUGUCGUCAGCUCGUGUCGUGAGAUGUCCGGUUAAGUCCGGUAACGAGCGCAACCCUCGCCAUAUGUUACAAGUGUCAUAUGGGACUGCCGGUAUAAAGUCGGAGGAAGGUGAGGAUGACGCCAAGUCAGCAUGACCUUUAUAUCCAGGGCUACACACACGCUACAAUGGCCGGUACAACAGGUAGCAAAACCGCGAGGUGGAGCCAAUCCCAAAAGCCGGUCUCAGUUCGGAUUGUAGGCUGCAACUCGCCUACAUGAAGUCGGAGUUGCUAGUAAACGCGCGUCAGCAACAGUGCGUUGAAUACGUUCCCGGGUCUUGCACACACCGCCCGU